UAAUGAAAUUUGUUUUUUAUUGAGUUGUCUUUAAUUUAUUUUUCUUACUAUUUUAUAUCAUUUUAUUUCAGACUAAUAAUUAAAAGUAAAAUAUAAAAAUAGUGUUGAUGUGGAAUUGAGAUGGGCUCUGGAAUAGGCUCUCAUUGCAGGGAAAUAGGCUCUGAGAUGGGCCUGCUGACGUGGCAGGAAAAAAUGGAUAUAGGCUUUGAGAUGAGCUCCGGAGAUAGGUCACCAUUGCUAGUGCUCUAAGUAGUUGUGACAAGUUUAUCCGAAUGUGAUGUCAACAAAUGUAGAGAAGAACCGGUGAAAUAUUUAAUUGAAGCGCUUGCUGCAUUUGGGUUCAACGGUCGUUAGCAAUCAUCCCGUAGGUACUGGAACUUCUGGAGAGGUCGCUCCGCACACCCAAGCGGUCGCUGGGCUUGUUCUUCAUUUCAGCACAACUUUUUCGGAGCGGACCGUUAUCUGUUCAGCGGUCGAUGUCGGCCAGCGAUCUCUGGCUGUGUUGCAGUGGACCGCUAGACUUCUUGAAAACUUCAUAUUUCCAACUUCGACUUUUAGCUAUCUUUU